CCCUUGCUAGGAUUUAUGCUUCAACCAGCGGGAUGAAAAAGCCCUCUUUGUACUGGAGUGCCGAACUGACUGGCUGAAAGAAAAUUUCAGAAGAGAGCUGGAUGAAAAGAUGCCUUGAUGACAUCAUUUCACCAGCGGUACAUCAGAAAUAUGGCCCCGUCUGGAGACAGUACACAACUUGACGCUUUCCACUGCCCUUCCAAUCAGGAGCAACUACAGCUGUCGAGGGAGCACUGAAAAAAUGUCAAUUAGCUAUAAAAGUUCCACAAACAA